UACGUAGGGGGCGAGCGUUGUCCGAAGUUACUGGGCGUAAAGCGCGCGUAGGCGGGCUAUUAAGUUGGAUGUGAAAUCUCCACGGCUUAACCGGGAAACUGCAUCCAAAACUGGUAGUCUUGAGGUAUGGAGAGGGAAGUGGAAUUCCUGGUGUAGCGGUGAAAUGCGUAGAUAUCAGGAGGAACACCCGUGGCGAAGGCGGCUUCCUGGCCAUAUCCUGACGCUGAGGUGCGAAAGCCAGGGGAGCGAACGGG
rnacentral:rRNA from 1 species